GUAGGGAAUAUUGGACAAUGGACGCAAGUCUGAUCCAGCCAUGCCGCGUGCAGGAUGACAGCCCUCUGGGUUGUAAACUGCUUUUAUAUGAGAAGAAACCCUCAGAUGCGUUUGAGGCUGACGGUAUCAUAUGAAUAAGGAUCGGCUAACUUCGUGCCAGCAGCCGCGGUAAGACGAAGGAUCCAAGCGUUGUCCGGAUUUACUGGGUUUAAAGGAUGCGUAGGCGGACACUUAAGCCAGUGGUGAAAUCCCAUAGCUCAACUAUGGAACUGCCAUUGGAACUGUGUGUCUUGAAUUCGGUUGAGGUAGAUGGAAUAUAACAUGUAGCGGUGAAAUGCUUAGAUAUGUUAUAGAACACCGAUUGCGAAGGCAGUCUACUAAGCCGACAUUGACGCUGAGGCAUGAAAGCGUGGGGAGCGAACAGGAUUAGAUACCCUAGUAGUCC
rnacentral:rRNA from 1 species